CAUUCGUCAAUGCCUGACUGGAAGCGAUCUUUUAUAGUUAAAAAGUGCUUAAUUAUUGUUUUUCACAGUCAAAGUGAUUGAUUCACUUUUUUUUUGUUUGUUUGUUUUUUGAUUUUCUCCGCUUUUUCUCCCCAAUUCCCAAAGUCCUCGUGGUGGUGUAGUGACUCUUCUCAAUCCGGGUGGCGGAGGACGAAUCUCAGUUGCCUCCACGUCAGAGAUUGUCAAUCCGCGCAACUUAUCACUUGUUGAGCGCGUUACCGUGGAGGCGUCACGCUAUUCUCCUCGGCAUCCCCGCACAUCAUAGCGACCACAAGGAGGUUACCCCACGUCCCUCCCAAGGAACUGGGCCAAUUUGGUUGCUUAGGAGACCAGGCUGGAGUCACACAGCACGCCCUGGAUUCAAACUCAAGACUCCAGGGGUGGUAGUCAGCGUCUUUACUCGCUGAGCUACCCAGGCCCCAGUCCAUUCGCUUUUGAAGACAUUAGUGUCACCGCUGAGGAUCUGCUGAGCCUGGAUCUUUUUCUACAAAUCUUCAAAAGUGUUUUGCAGAAGAAAGACAUUCAUACACAUCUCAGAUGGCAUGAGGGUGAGUAAAUUAUCUGAGAAUUUUCAUUUUUGGGUGAACUAUCCCUUUAAACCAAAACAUGGACUUUCUCCCAACAGAGUAAUUUAAUCAAAGAAGACAAUAAGCAAAAUUAACAUGUUGAUUGCAUUCGAAAAUUUAAUUGGUGUGAAAUGACAACAUUUUUGUUGGGAUGCUUUCUAUGCUAAGUUUAGUAAUAGCAACAGGAGCAUUUGUCAAACAUUUACUUCAUCGGUCUAUUGAAUUCUUAAUUCUGUUAGUCUAGCUGUUGAGGGGUGAUGCAAUGAGACCUGAAGUCUUUCACGCAAUGAAAUCACAAAUAGCCCUUUUCCGUAGACAUGGUUCAGGGGCGGUUUCCUUGGCUGGUGCAAAUUCUCAAACUGUUCCACGUGUUUCCACCGCAGAACAGGCCAUUCAGGGACGGAAAAACUGGUUCUGUACCACCCCCCAAAAGCUUGCUGGUUUCUAUGCAGAAACCGAUUAAGCCAGGGGACAGAGGGCAUGAUUGUUUCGUCACCAAAAUUUUACAAACAACAACAGGAGCUACUGUCUGCAGCAAGGAGUAUGUCAUCCCUCUUCAACAACAAUAAAAAAAUAAAUAAAAUAGGAAACACGGAUGAAACGAGCACUCUACUUGCGAUAUGGUCUUCUACGGAGAUCAGAGAUAAACUAGAAAGACAAAAGAGAGACUACGAGGAGAUACAAUAAGAAAUGAUGCACGCCAGUAUGCAAGCUCAGUAAGUUAAUAGAUUUGCUGACUUUGUGAGCUUUCCUCACACUCUUCUCAUCUUAUUUUGUGCAUUGUUUUGUUCAAUAAGGGGAUUUUUUACCAGCUACUCACUAAAUUAGGAAGCUCGCAGCGAUGUGUUCUGUAAACCGGUGGGAUUUCAUAGAGUUUAUAGUACUUAGCAAGAUAAGCAACUUUAAAAAGUUCAUACAUAAUAAUGUAAUUACAUUACCUAUCAUCUCUGGCAAUCUUGUUGAGCAAUGUUAUAACAUUGGAUUGCAUUUCUCUGUAUUUUUAAAUAUUUCCUCAAAAAAACAGGAGUUAAAACUGUAGGCUAUGCAAAAACAGUAAAACUCGUCACGUAAAACUACCACGUAGCUCCAGAUUGCCCCGGCCAUGAACCAGCGGAGCACAGUCCAGGGUUCCCAUGCAUCCUGGAAAACCUGGAAUUUUACAAUGCAGUUUUCCAGUCAUGGAAAAUUAGAAAAAUACCUGAAUGUCCUUCCUGGAAAAUAAUUAUUUGUCCUGAAAAAUAUUUCAGUAUAAUAAAACUGUUUGACUGUGUUGCUAACAAGGUUUUCGUUACAUGUACAAAAACAUGGUAACGAUCUGGACUCAGAAUAGGAGUCAAAUACAGGAAUUCAUAUCGUUUUGUCACUGCCGGUAGCUGCACAUUGUGAAACAAUCUCAACGGUUAAGGGCGCUUACACCCUUGUGACUGAUUACAGCAGCGUCCAAUCGUGUGCUUGGCAAUCGCGGUCCAACCGAGGCAGAUCGCUUGAUGGUUACAGCUACUGCAAAUCGUGUGCUUGGCACGUGCACAGUGAGAAGUGGCACUCGUGAAACUUCUCAUUCAUAAACAAACAGAAUGAUCUGGUGCAUGUACCGAACGACUGAAUGAGAGGGGCAUGUUGUUAGUUUACUUCAGCUUCGUCAUGUGAGUCUACCUUGUUCAUCACGGAGAGAAAAGGGCGGAAGAGCUGUUAUUGCACAAAAGUGACUGUUUAUACACAUUGAGGGGCUUUCACAUGACUGCCGUCAGCACCGCCAAGUACACUGAAUCUAAGAAGUAACGCGUCAACGCAACCUCGGCUACAACUUCACACCAAAGUGUUUUUCACACACGUUUUUGCCUCACAUAAAUAAUGUCCUUGAGAGUACAAAGCUACAAGAUAUAUUUUAAAACUGUCCAAAUUUGGGGGCCUGGGUAGCUCAGUGGUAAAAGACGCUGGCUACCACCCCUGUAGUUCGCUAGUUCGAAUCCCAGGGCGUGCUGAGUGACUCCAGCCGGGUCUCCUAAGCAACCAAUUUGGCCCAGUUGCUAGGGAGGGUAGAGUCACAUGGGGUAACCUCCUCGUGGUCGGUAUAAUGUGGUUCGUUCUCGGUGUGGCACGUUGUGAGUUGAGUGUGGAUGCUGCGGUGGGUGGCGUGAAGCCUCCACACGCGCUACGUCUCCGUGGCAACACGCUCAACAAGCCACGUGAUAAGAUGCGCGGGUUGAGAGUCUCAGACGUGGAGGCAGCUGGAAUUCAUCCUCCGCCACCCGGAUUGAGGCGAGUCACUACGCAACCAUGAGGACUUAAAGCGCAUUGGGAAUUGGGCAUUCCAAAUUGGGUGAAAAAGGGGAACACCCCCCCCCCCCCCCCAAAAAAAAAACUAUCCAAAUUUAUGAAGAGAUAUUGAAUGUCUCAUAAUUUAUUUUAAUUAAUUAUUAUCUUAUUGUUUCCGAGUAUCCAGAGACCCCAGUUAUUGGACUACAGUAAUUACAUUUACAAAAAAACGCUAAGACCUAAACAUAAAUGAGUCCUCCUUUUAAUUUCUGCAAUCAAAACAAUUGCCAUUUUUUCUCUUCCAAUUACAUGUUUUCAAUGUUUAUUAUGCACACCUCCCGCUUUCUUGCGUGGCAAACUCGUAAAUUCACCCCUCCAAGACACUUUCUGCAACACUUGUCAUGUGGAGGGCAAAGCGCCGCUUGACGCACGACUCAACACGUGUGAAAUGCACUUUACAAUGACCAAAGGACAUUAUUGAAACUCAAAAUUAUUAUUAUUACAAUUAGGCUAUUAUUGUGGUCUUUUCUGGUAAAAGUCAUGCUCAGCAGUUUAAAUGCUGUAGGAGAAUGAUACAGUAGAUCCACUUUGUUCUUAUAAUGCUUAAACGUUCUAAUGAAGUCAUUUGACAUGUAAAUUUUAAUGGAGAAGUUAAAGACGUAAUUGAUGCUCAUUAAUAUUAUGGAUGAAAAGGAUGAAAAGUCAUGCUCGGCAGUUCACAAACCGAACGGAAAUUAUAGAUCUACUUUGUUCUUAUAAUGCUUAAAUACUAUAAAGUCUCUUGGCAGUUUUCGGUCGUGAACAUCUCAAAAUUAUUCAAUGACUCACUCAUAGCACAUAAGAUGCUCAUUUUUCGCCACCUAUUGGCAUCUCCAGAAGUGGUCACGAAACUAGUCAAUUAACGAAACUGAACAAAUUUGUGAAACAGAAGCAAGCCACACCAAAAUACUCUUUAUUUUUUGCAGAUAAUUCUGCACAGUUGUGCAGAUAAUUUUCUAUACUUGAAUAAUUAAAAUAGCUUAAUAUGGUGCUUUAGCUUAUUCUUUAAAAAAAUAACCCCGAAAAACAUGUUCGUGGAUCAGUGAUGGUCUCACUUUUUUCGCCCCUCAUGAGUUUGCAUCCCUGUGAGUCAUAAACUUUAGACAACGAUGACAGUCGGACCGCUGAUUAUUUAAAAAAUGAAUUCACACUGGGUUGGUUACAUGGUGAUUUGGCCUUAAUACCUCGGGAUGUGAAUUAAUUUUCAAUAAUUCAACGAUCUGAGCCAGCUUAUACCGCGGUUACCACAUGUAGUAUGCGGAAAACACGUAAUCUAGUCGUAAAAAUGGCAUUAGCAGUAAAAUGCAGAAUGUCAUGGAAUAUGACACAUUUGGACGAAAAUGAAUGUACAAUUAAUCAAAUAAAAAUUCUGAUUGUCCUAGUGUGAUAAUUAAACUAAAAAAGUCUCUGAUUUAAUUGAAUAAAUAAAUGCAAGUGAUGCGUGCUUCAAAAUGAAUGUGUAGAGCCGUCCAUUCAUACACUGAAAACACCUCAUCAUGAUCAUCAUGCGCUCUUGUGUGUGAGAUGACAGAGACAGAGAUCACUCUGAAGUGUGCAGCACAUACAGACUAUUUAUUUAUUAAAUUGAAUCACAGCUUUACAGGGAUUAAUAAUCACUCUGGGCCAUGGAGCAAACUGAGUAUCUGGAGUUGAGAAACUACCGUUAAAAACAAACAGAAACGGCAAAAUAAAAGCUCGAUUUAAAUGGAUGCUUGUGUUUUUGCUUAAAUAUUACACUUGUUGGGUGCAUAAAAUGUCCUGGAAAAUUGUGCCUUGAAAAGAGUGGGAACCCUGACAGUCUUGGCACGAGAACCAUCUGCGUUUCGGUGGAAAAGGGCUAAAAAGAGACAUCUAUCUGGUCAAAGGCAUGUCCAUAUGGAAUCUGUGCACAUAAAACUCUACAGAGAACUCCAUAGAUUUUGAGAAAUAUUCACAAAGUUCUAAUAAUAUUUUGGCUAAUUUGAUUAUCAUAGUUUCAGCUACUAAUAAGUCUGUAGUACUUUCCGCUCUGUUUAACCCAUUCCACAGAUUUCGCCCCAAAAUCAGCAGCGAAAAUAUAAAGAAAAAAAAGUCCAAUGGUUCAGUCUGGGAUAAGCUACUCAUUAGUUGUCAUAAGGUGUUCCAAGUUUAUUCAAUCAACAAUUUUUACACUGUGGAUGAAAAUAUAUAAUCUUUUCUGACGCUUUUUGUGUUUUGGAGUAACAAUAGAUAAGUUAAUGACAUUUAUUAUGCAUGGGAGUGUCUCAAACAACGGUAAUAUUAGUGUAUUAAAGAAGUAGUUUACCCAAAAAUGAAGACUCUCUUGUCAUUUUCUCACCCUCUUGUGGUUACAUAUUGGUUUCAGACUGUUUACAUAGUUUAUCAAGGAUGUGAUUGGAGAGUGAAAAUGUAAAUUGAGGUCUGUGCAUGAUUCAAAUUAAUUGUAUACUCAAUUACUUUUUUUUUUUUUUUUAGAUUAAGCAUUUCAGUUUAAUAACAAAAUUCCAUCAAAUUGAAUUUUGUAAUCUUUAACUAAAUAAUUGUUUUUUUUUUUUCACCCGAUUUGGAAUACCCAAUUCCCAGUGUGCUUUUAAGUCCUUGUGGUGGUGUAGUGAUUUGCCUCAAUCUGGGUGGCAGAGGAUGAAUCCCAGUUGCCUCUGCAUCUGAGACCGUCAACCUGUGCAUCUUAUCACGUGGCUUGUUGAGCGUGUUGCUAUGGAGACAUAGUGCGUGUGGAGGCUUCACGUCAUCCACUGUGGCAUCUGCGCUCAACUCACCACACGCCCCACCGAGAAUGAACCACAUUAUAGUGACCACGAGGAGGUUACCUACCCUCCCUAGCAACUGAGCCAAUUUGGUUGCUUAGGAGACCUGGUCACUCAGCAUGCCCUGGGAUUUGAACUAGUGAACUAGCAAACUCCAGGGGUGGUAGCCAGUGUCUUUUACCACUGAGCUACCCAGGCCCCCUACUAAAUAAAGUUUUUAAAAAAUAUAUAUAAAUAUUUUAAAUUCUAUUUAAUUUAGGUAAAAAUUACACAAUUAAAUUUGAUGGAAUUUUGUUAUGAAAUUGAAAUGCAGGUAAUAUUGUUACUCUUGUAUCCAUGGAAUCUUCAUUGUGUUCGUGUUUUUUGUUUUUGUUGUUUUUUUGUUUUUGUUGUUUUUGUUGUUUUUUUGUAUUUGUUGUUUAAUGUGAAACCAAAUAAAAAAUAAUAUUUGCAACUAAAAAAAAAAAUGCGUAAAAUCCGAUACGCACCGUUACACGCUCUACUGGCAGUGAUGUGCAAUGAUUUUCACCGUUUGGGAAAAGUAUUGUGUGAUUAUUUUUGUGUAUUCUUAUGAAUGCAAUUAAUAUCAAUUUCUGAAUUACCAAAAAUUGCUUCUUAUUGUGGUCUUAAAUUUUUCUUUCAAAAUGUAAUGCAUUCAGUCUUAAUCCAUCACUUUAUUAGGAAAAACAAUGUGUUUUUAGCAAAGCAACAUUUAAUAAAAUAAUUGAAUUAA